rnacentral:rRNA from 1 species
AACGAACGCUGGCGGCAUGCUUAACACAUGCAAGUCGAACGAGACCUUCGGGUCUAGUGGCGCACGGGUGCGUAACGCGUGGGAAUCUGCCCUUAGGUACGGAAUAACUCAGAGAAAUUUGUGCUUAUACCGUAUGAUGUCGACAGACCAAAGAUUUAUCGCCUAAGGAUGAGCCCGCGUAAGAUUAGCUUGUUGGUGAGGUAAAAGCUCACCAAGGCGACGAUCUUUAGCUGAUCUGAGAGGAUGAUCAGCCACACUGGGACUGAGACACGGCCCAGACUCCGACGGGAGGCAGCAGUGGGGAAUAGUGGACAAUGGGCGAAAGCCUGAUCCAGCGAUGCCGCGUGAGUGAUGAAGGCCUUAGGGUUGUAAAGCUCUUUUACCAGGGAUGAUAAUGACAGUACCUGGAGAAUAAGCUCCGGCUAACUCCGUGCCAGCAGCCGCAGUAA